GACGAACGCUGGCGGCGCGCUUAACACAUGCCAGUCGAACGGAAAGGCCUGCUUUCCCUUGUGGAUUGCGGGUACUCGAGUGGCGAACGGGUGAGUAACACGUGAGUGAUCUGCCCCCAACUUGGGUAUAAGCCUGGGAAACUGGGUCUAAUUCCCGAUAGGACUGCAGGGUGGUGCCUGUGGUGGAAAACGAUUUUCUAGUGGUUGGGGAUGAGCUCGCGGCCUAUCAGCUUGUUGGUGGGGUAAUGGCCUACCAAGGCGGCGACGGGUAGCCGGCCUGAGAGGGUGGACGGCCACAUUGGGACUGAGAUACGGCCCAGACUCCGACGGGAGGCAGCAGUGGGGAAUAUUGCACAAGGGGCGGAAGCCUGAUGCAGCGACGCCGCGUGGGGGAUGACGGCCUUCGGGUUGUAAACUCCUUUCGACCGCGAGGAAGCCACCUGGUUGGAAGGGUGGUGACGGUAGUGGUAGAAGAAGCACCGGCUAACUACGUG
rnacentral:rRNA from 1 species